rnacentral:rRNA from 1 species
CAAUAAGCGGAGGAAAAGAAACUAACUAGGAUUCCCUUAGUAACGGCGAGUGAACCGGGAUGAGCUCAAAUUUAAAAUCUGGCGUCUUUCAGGCGUCCGAGUUGUAAUCUAUAGAGGCGUUUUCCGCGCCGGACCGCGUCCAAGUCUCUUGGAAUAGAGUAUCAAAGAGGGUGACAAUCCCGUACUUGACGCGACAACCGGUGCUCUGUGAUACGUUCUCAAUGAGUCGAGUUGUUUGGGAAUGCAGCUCUAAAUGGGUGGUAAAUUCCAUCUAAGGCUAAAUAUUGGCGAGAGACCGAUAGCGAACAAGUACCGUGAGGGAAAGAUGAAAAGCACUUUGGAAAGAGAGUUAAACAGCACGUGAAAUUGUUAAAAGGGAAACGAUUGAAGUCAGUCGUGUGAAAGGUAUUCAGCCGUCUCUGGCGGUGUAUUUGCCUUUCACGGGUCAACAUCAGUUUGAUCCGGUAGAAAAAGGCGGGAGGAAGGUGGCACCCUCGGGUGUGUUAUAGCCUCCUGUCAUAUGUGCCGGACCAGACUGAGGAACGCAGCUUGCCGCAAGGCCGGGGUUCGCCCACGUACAAGCUUAGGAUGUUGACAUAAUGGCUUUAAACGACCCGUC